GGUGAACGCUGGCGGCGUGCUUAAGACAUGCAAGUCGAACGGCAGUCUUCGGACUGUAGUGGCGCACGGGUGAGUAACGCGUAACUGACCUACCCCAAAGUCGCGGAUAACGAUUCGAAAGAAUCGCUAAUACGUGAUGUGCUGUCAGAUUGUGUUCUGCCAGUAAAGAUUGAUUGCUUUGGGAUGGGGUUGCGUUCCAUCAGCUAGUUGGUGGGGUAAAGGCCCACCAAGGCGACGACGGAUAGCCGGCCUGAGAGGGUGGCCGGCCACAGGGGCACUGAGACACGGGUCCCACUCCUACGGGAGGCGGCAGUUAGGAAGCUUCCACAAUGGGCGAAAGUCUGAUGGAGCGACGCCGCGUGAGGGAUGAAGGUCUUCGGAUCGUAAACCUCUGAAUCAGGGACGAAAGACACUUCGGUGGGAUGACGGUACCUGAGUAAUAGCACCGGCUAACUCCGUGCCAGCAGCCGCAGUAACAC
rnacentral:rRNA from 1 species